rnacentral:tRNA from 1 species
GGGGAUGCAGCUUAGUGGUAAAGCACAUGCCUAGCAUGUGAUAGAGUGGGUUUCAUUCCCA